rnacentral:lncRNA from 1 species
UGGCGGUGCGUCUCCCUCCUCCCCCGGCACCGGGGGUCGGGGCGCGUCCUCCCUGAAGCUGCUGCCGGGGUCCGGGAGGUGGGCGAGGAGCACGGCGCUGCUCAUGGCUCCGGAGCGGGGCUGCGGGAGGCUCCGGGAGCUGCGUGCCGCUCGCUCGAGUCAGCGGGGGAUCCUGGGAGGCUCCUCUCGCGGUGCCCGGAGCUGCUGCGCGCCCGCGGCCCCGCCGCUCUCCGCCGGCAGCGCGCAGGGCUGCCCCGCGCCUUCCUCCUCCUCCUCCUCCUCCUCCUCCUCUUCUCCCCGGCGGUGUAACCGCAUCGGAGAGCAUCGAGGGGGG